UUCCUCUCAUGUAGCAUUUUUCCAGUGUGUGAAAAUCUCUGGCCUCAAAGCACACUUGUGGGAACCCAUAAUUGAGUCUGAGAUCAUCCAACAGCAGCAGAAAGCUCUUACAGCCCCGAGAGCCUCAGGGAGCCAGGAAGCUUACAGAACCUUGCUGAAAAACACGGGAUCUAUAGCUAAAUCCAGAAAGCCCCCGGAGACCAUUUGGACCAACCCCUCCCACAGGUUAAAGCCCUGACCCCUGCCAUUCACUAUGGGAGAAGACAGCAACAGCUUUUCUGCCCCACUGGUGUUCUCUAGGGCUUUCUGACCCAGGUCCUCAUCAGCGCAGUCCCUAGCGUUGAGCCCAGCAACCCUAGGAUCAAGGCCUUGAAAGACAAGGUUUUGGGAUCUCCCAAAGACAUGAGGCCUCUUUAUGUUGCC
rnacentral:lncRNA from 1 species